UGGCUCAGUGGUUAAGAGCACUGACUGAUCUUCCAGAGGACCUGGGUUCAAUUCCCAG
rnacentral:tRNA from 1 species